rnacentral:rRNA from 1 species
AACGAACGCUGGCGGCAUGCCUAACACAUGCAAGUCGAACGCGUGUAGCAAUACACGAGUGGCGGACGGGUGAGUAACGCGUGGGAACCUGCCCAAUGGUAGGGAAUAACUGCGGGAAACUGCAGCUAAUACCCUAUGCUCCCUACGGGGGAAAGAUUUAUCGCCAUUGGAGGGGCCCGCGUCGGAUUAGCUAGUUGGCGGGGUAACGGCCCACCAAGGCUCCGACGGGUAGCUGGUCUGAGAGGACGAUCAGCCACACUGGCACUGCGACACGGGCCAGACUCCUACGGGAGGCAGCAGUGAGGAAUAUUGCGCAAUGGGCGAAAGCCUGACGCAGCGACGCCGCGUGGGGGAUGAAGGUCUUCGGAUUGUAAACCCCUUUCGGGAGGGAAGAUGGAACGAGCAAUACGUUCGGACGGUACCUCCACGAAGCAGCCACGGCUAACUUCGUGCCAGCAGCCG